rnacentral:SRP_RNA from 1 species
GCCAGGUGCGGUGGCGCGUGCCUGUAGUCCCAACUACUCGGGAGGCUGAGGUGGGAGGAUCGCUUGAGCCCAGGAGUUCUGGGCUGUAGUGCGCUAUGCCGAUCAGGUGUCCGCACUAAUUUCGGCAUCGAUAUGGUGACCUCCCCGGAGUGAGGGACCACCAGGUUGCCUAAGGAGGGGUGAACUGCCCCAGGUCGGAAACGGAGCAGGUCAAAACUCCCGUGCUGAUCAGUAGUGGGAUCGCGCCUGUGAAUAGCCACUGCACUCCAGCCUGGGCAGCAGAGUGAGACCCUGUCUCU